UCUUGUGGAUAUUGGGCUUGACAGCUGCAAGGAGUUACUGAAGGACCUUAAAGGCUUUGAUCCAGGAGAGAAAUACUUUCAUAACACAUCAUGGGGUGAUGUUUCUCUCUGGGAACCUUCUGGAAAGAAAGUGUUGUUAGCACCUUCCUCGGUAUCAGACUCAGCUCAUCCCAGACUUGACUUGGCUGUCCCCUCUCACCAGCUUCUGUGGUCAAAGUCAUGCUGGCCUUGGGAAUUUGGGCUUUAAGAGAUAUCGAACAAAGCCAUACUGUUGUGGCCUCUGUAAAUACUCUACAAAGGUGCUUACUUCAUUCAAGAAUCAUUUACAUCGUUACCAUGAAGAUGAAAUUGACCAAGAGCUGGUGAUCCCUUGCCCAAACUGUGUAUUUGCAUCUCAGCCCAAAGUUGUGGGAAGGCACUUCAGAAUGUUCCAUGCACCUGUCCGGAAAGUCCAGAACUACACAGUGAAUAUUUUAGGUGAAACUAAAUCAUCUAGGAGCGAUGUGAUAAGUUUCACAUGUCUAAAAUGUAACUUUUCAAACACUUUGUACUACAGCAUGAAGAAGCAUGUGCUGGUAGCCCAUUUUCACUACUUAAUUAACUCCUACUUUGGCCUAAGAACUGAGGAAAUGGGUGAGCAACCGAAA
rnacentral:lncRNA from 1 species